GGAAAGGCCCUGCUUGCAGGGUACUCGAGUGGCGAACGGGUGAGUAACACGUGGGUGAUCUGCCCUGCACUUCGGGAUAAGCCUGGGAAACUGGGUCUAAUACCGGAUAGGACCAUCGUUUAGUGUCGGUGGUGGAAAGUUUUUCGGUGCAGGAUGAGCUCGCGGCCUAUCAGCUUGUUGGUGGGGUAAUGGCCUACCAAGGCGUCGACGGGUAGCCGGCCUGAGAGGGUGGACGGCCACAUUGGGACUGAGACACGGCCCAGACUCCUACGGGAGGCAGCAGUGGGGAAUAUUGCACAAUGGGCGCAAGCCUGAUGCAGCGACGCCGCGUGGGGGAUGAAGGCCUUCGGGUUGUAAACUCCUUUCAACCAUGACGAAGCAUUAUGUGACGGUAGUGGUAGAAGAAGCACCGGCUAACUACGUGCCAGCAGCCGCGGUAAUACGUAGGGUGCGAGCGUUGUCCGGAAUUACUGGGCGUAAAGAGCUCGUAGGUGGUUUGUCGCGUCGUCUGUGAAAUUCCGGGGCUUAACUCCGGGCGUGCAGGCGAUACGGGCAUAACUUGAGUGCUGUAGGGGAGACUGGAAUUCCUGGUGUAGCGGUGAAAUGCGCAGAUAUCAGGAGGAACACCGAUGGCGAAGGCAGGUCUCUGGGCAGUAACUGACGCUGAGGAGCGAAAGCAUGGGUAGCGAACAGGAUUAGAUACCCUGGUAGUCCAUGCCGUAAACGGUGGGCGCUAGGUGUGGGGGUCUUCCACGACUUCUGUGCCGUAGCUAACGCAUUAAGCGCCCCGCCUGGGGAGUACGGCCGCAAGGCUAAAACUCAAAGGAAUUG
rnacentral:rRNA from 1 species